AAUGCACCAAUUUGUAAGUCGCUCUGGAAAAGAGCGUCUGCUAAAUGAUGUAAA
rfam:Salmo salar isolate Sally breed double haploid chromosome ssa10, whole genome shotgun sequence.